CCUACGGGAGGCAGCAGUAAGGAAUAUUGGUCAAUGGACGCAAGUCUGAACCAGCCAUGCCGCGUGAAGGAUUAAGGCCCUCUGGGUUGUAAACUUCUUUUAUAGGGGACGAAAAAAGGGCAUUCUUGCUCACUUGACGGUACCCUAGGAAUAAGCACCGGCUAACUCCGUGCCAGCAGCCGCGGUAAUACGGAGGGUGCAAGCGUUAUCCGGAUUUACUGGGUUUAAAGGGUGCGUAGGUGGGUUGGUAAGUCAGUGGUGAAAUCUUCGAGCUUAACUCGGAAACUGCCAUUGAUACUAUCAAUCUUGAAUCAUCUAGAGGUAAGCGGAAUAUGUCAUGUAGCGGUGAAAUGCUUAGAUAUGACAUAGAACACCAAUUGCGAAGGCAGCUUACUAUGGAUGUAUUGACACUGAGGCACGAAAGCGUGGGGAUCAAACAGGAUUAGAUACCCUGGUAGUCCACGCCCUAAACGAUAGAUACUACACAUUAGUGUAUAUACUAUAAGUAGUNUGAGAGAAGAGAUAAGUAUCCACCGCGGAGUAACGACGCGAGUUAGUAAGUUACGAAGAAGUUAGAGGNGNGAGAGNGCGAGACGACGACGAGGAGGAGG
rnacentral:rRNA from 1 species